GUGGCUGUGGCUCAGUGGUAGAGCACUUGCACAGCAUGUGUGAGGCACUGGGUUUGAUCCUCAGCACCACA
rnacentral:tRNA from 1 species